rnacentral:rRNA from 1 species
UACGUAGGGUGCGAGCGUUGUCCGGAAUUAUUGGGCGUAAAGGGCUCGUAGGCGGUUUGUCGCGUCGGGAGUGAAAACCUCGGGCUUAACUCGGGGCUUGCUUUCGAUACGGGCAGACUAGAGGUAUGCAGGGGAGAACGGAAUUCCUGGUGUAGCGGUGAAAUGCGCAGAUAUCAGGAGGAACACCGGUGGCGAAGGCGGUUCUCUGGGCAUGAUCUGACGCUGAGGAGCGAAAGUGUGGGAGCGAACAGG